rnacentral:rRNA from 1 species
UACAGAGACUGCAAGCGUUAUUCGGAUUCACUGGGCGUAAAGGGUGCGCAGGCGGCCAAGUGUGUGAGGCGUGAAAGCCCGGGGCUUAACCCCGGAAUUGCACCUCAAACUACAUGGCUAGAGCAUUGGAGAGGGUAGCGGAAUUCACGGUGUAGCAGUGAAAUGCGUAGAUAUCGUGAGGAAUACCAGAGGCGAAGGCGGCUACCUGGACAAUUGCUGACGCUCAGGCACGAAAGCGUGGGGAGCAAAAGGG